rnacentral:lncRNA from 1 species
AAUACAGCAGGCAGAAGAAGUUGGAAGGACUUGACUUGCUGAGUCUUCCAGCCUUCAUCUUUCUCCUCUGCUGGAUGCUUCCUGCCCUUGAACAUCAGACUCCAACUUCUUCAGCUUUUGGACUCUUGAACUUAACACCCGUGGUUUGCCAGGGGCUCUCGGGCCUUUGGCCGCAGACUGAAGGCUGCACUGUCGGCUUCCCAGUUUUUGAGGUUUUGGGACUUGGACUGGCUUCCUGGCUUCUCAGCUUGCAGACGGCCUAUGGUGGGACUUCACCUUGUGAUCGUCUACCUUGAUGCUGAACAUCCCCUGAAGCAACAGGACUGCAUGAGCUUGGUGUGGCUGAGCCCAUGUCCUAAUGAACAUCCAGAAAAGAAAGACACUCAGAAAGCCAGGAAAAUGGAAGAAUUUUUUUUUUCAGCCAGCCAGGCACCUGACAGUAAUCAAAAUCUGUAAAGAACAGGAUGUGGAGCCUCCUCUGCUUGUUCAGCACGAACAUUUUGUGGUGGGUGCUGCAAAGAUGACUCAGACACAGUCUCCACCCCAGGGUGUACCCAAAGCAACCAAUGGAACAAAGAAUUGGACAAAACGCACAAACAAAGCAAGAAGGAAUGAAGGGUUUUAUUGAAAAUGAAAGUACACUCCACAGUGUGGGAGUGGGCCUGAGCAGAGGGGCUCAAAGGCCCCAUUGUAGAAUUUUGGGGAGUUUAAAUAUCCCCAAGAACCUGAACAACCUCUGCCGUUAACAUAUUUUGGUGACCCGGGAAGGAGGAAGAGGCCUGAAAGAUAAGACAAAGAGGUUCCUACAACCUGGAGACCGAGAAGGCUGCCAGGCAGGAGCUGUGAUUGCAGCUGAAAGAUGCAGCCGGUCUUUAGCAACUCCACAUGGAGGAAGCCAGGAAAAUAAAUACUCCAAUCAAUCACAAUUUCUUUUUCUGCUAUGUCUUGCCCAUGCUCUGAAUUUUUCAAAAUCGACUGGAAGCUAGAAAGCAAAGGAGAACUUUGGUGAGUCUACUCUGAAUAUGGGACACAGAGCAAUGGGGAGAAAGGUUAUCAGGAGACACCCAGUUCAGGCACCUACCUCUUCCACAAUAACAACUUCUGUUUCACUCAGCAUUACUUUGUGCCCAGCUGAGAAAGGACUGCAUUCUCCAUUCUCUUACAUUUGCGUGACUGUGAUGUGGAACUGGAACUAACAAAAAGGAAGAACAUCAGAGGAGGUGCAAGAAGCAAGAGAGGGAAAGCACCGUGGUGGAACAGUGGCUGAUAGUUUUCUGGUAGAGUGCUAGAAAAACAUUUAAUAAUGAGCAUGUUCC